CUUUAGAGAUCCAGUGUGCGCCCCUGCGUGACCUUCAUCACUACUGUGUGUGUGCCCUCCUCUCCUCCGCUCUCUCCUUCUAUAGUCAUCCACUCGACGGCGACCCCCCGCCCACUCGCCUGCCAAAGCCCCCCAACGCAGAAAAAUCAGUCAUACGUUGAUUGCGCUCUUUUUUUCUCGUGCGUGUGCGUGUGUGUAUGCUUGAUCGAGUGUUUCUCUCUUCCCUUCCCUUUCUUUUUCUCUCCGCCCCGAUUUCCUCCACGAACCCAUCAACGUACGCUCUCCACUUCCCCAAACCCCUUCUCGCUCGCGUUCUUUCUCUCUUUCUCUCCUUCUCUCGUCUUUGUCGCGUUACUCUUCUGCUCCCCCCACCGCCGUCUUACGAGUUCUGCUCCUUUCUCGUGUUCUGAGAAGAUACUCGCACAGGAGAGAGAGACACAUUUGGAGGACAGUCGGCAAGCGAAAAGAUACGCAUCAACGAUACACACACGCACACACACAAGAAAGAGAAACACGUUAAACAAGAACGCAACAAGCAAACUCGAACUGCGUCCCCCUCCUUCUGCCUUCGCUCUUUCUCAUCUCCUCUCUUUGGCUGUCCUUCUCGCCCCCUUCCCUCUCUUCCGUUUCAGUGACCCUCUCUCGUUUUCUGUUUACCACUGUAGCUCCCCGGCAGCAAUACAAAACCAUCUCGCCUUUUCUCUUCCUUGCUCUUCCCCUCCUCUUCCUUUUUCUUGCCGCUGCGCCGUCCAUCGCCUUCCUCCCCCACUUCGUUUCUUAUUUUCCGCCUCCUCGACGGCUGAUCGCUGACAGAACCCCCUCCCCCCACCCCCACCCAAAGGCUCUGCUAUCUCUUUGUUCCUGCCCUUUUCCAUUCACACAGACAGAGACACACAGCCAGACACACACGCACACGAGGUCACUCUACAAUUCUACUUCUUCUCUUCCUCAUCCCCCGUCCUGUCUCUCUGCUCUCUACCUUUACGUGUGCCUGUGAGCCAGCGUCUAGCGGCAGUAGUGGCGUCUGCGAGGGAGUUUCAAGGUGGUUCUCGUUCUCCGUCUCCCUCUCUGUGGGCUUGCAUGUGUGUGUGUGCGCACUUCCCACUAUCACCAACACUCCCCUCUGCCCCCCUUUCUUUCUUCGUUGCCCUCCUUCCCCUUCCUCGCUCCCCUCGCCCUCCCUCCGCGCACUUUCUUCUUUGUCUCUCUCUCUUCUUUCGAGCCCCUCCUUCCCUCCCUUCCUUCCCCCGCCGCCACUUCCCAGCUCGGAUAGAUCGCGCCUCACGUAUCUCCUCCGCCCUCUGACUUUGUGUUCUUCUCUUAUUUCUCUUUCCCUUCAUUUGGUGCUUCCUAACCCCUCCCCUGCGCGGCGACAACGGCCACUACAGGAGAACAAGCAGAGCAGCUUGCUCCCUUUGCACUGCGAUUCGGUGGAAGAGCCGUACCUCACUUACCUCGCUGCAGCGUGUCUCUCUCUCUCACUGUGCGCGCUUGUGGCCAUCAUCUGGUGAACCCUUUCCGCUCUUUUCUGUUCCUCUCUCCAGACCCACUGCACAUCGUAUUCUCCCUUCCGCCCCCCUUCAUUCGCAGCCAUGUCUGCCGGUUCGAAGAACUUCUACGCCUCGAUGGUUUUGAAGUCGAACUACCCCGAUGCCCAGCCGCCGACGGCGAUGGGGGCGCCACCGAAGAAAGGCCCCCAGCCGUAUCGCAGCCCGUGCUACAACAGCGCAUCGGCAAACCCCACCGCCGCCUCUACGCUGACGCAGCCUUUUUCGCUGCCCACGUCGCUGCAGAGCCCGCAGAUGCUGCAGGCGCACGUUCCUCGCCCGACGGUGCUCAUUCCGAUGGCCGGCCACGAGACUAUCGAAUCCUCGAAGCAGUCGGGCAAGAUAUACACCCACAACCCCUACGCCUCUACCUGCACCACCCCGUCCGCGUGCCUCUCGCAGAGCACCAGUAUGGAGAGCAGCAGCUUCACCUCGCCCUACAUCACUGCAAUGGCACCUCGCACCACUGCCAUGACGCCGCCGCACUCCAGCUGCGCCAGCACCUUCCCGGUGUACGCCGCGUCGGAGGGCAGCUGCUGUGAGGCCGGCGCGCUGGCAAACAUGCUGGAGGACCAGUUCCUUAGCGUCCUCGGCAACAUUCCCUCGACGGCGAUGUCGUCGCGUGGCCGCCAUAUUCUCCUCAACGUGCUCCGGCUGCAGCACAUGGAUAAGAUUCAGAUGAUUUACGACGAGCUUUUGCCGCAGUUUAACAUCAUCGCGAUGGACCAGCACGGCUGCCACGUGGCGCGUACGCUCAUCGAAUACAUUUCGACCCCUCAAAUGGAGGCGCUGGUGCCGUACAUAGACCCACAUGUCAUUCUGCAGAUGGCCACCACCACGCAGCACACACGCCGCGUUCUCCAGGCAAUCUUCGAGCACCACAAGUCCGAUGCGCUUAUGCCGAUCGUUGAGGUGGUGACGUCGGACUGCCAACAUCUCUCGGUCACGCAGCAGGGGUGUAUAGCGAUCAUUCGCAUCAUCGAGUACGCGAAGCCGGCACAGAAGCGGACGCUCAUCAGCGCCCUUGUGCCGCUCCUCUCGACACUGGCUAAGAAUCAGUUCGGCAACUACGUGGUGCAGUGCAUCCUCAAGAACAUGGAGGGGUACGUCUCGCUGAACGACUUGGUUGCAAGCUUCCAGGGGCACUGGGUGGAGCUGUCGUGUGACAAGUACAGCUCCAACGUGAUGGAGAAGAUUGUCGGGAUGCUUCAGGGGAGCUUGCGCCAGCGCAUUGUGAAUGAGCUCAUCUUCGAUGUCGCGCACCUCCAGUGCCUCAUGCAGAACAGCUUCGGCAACUACGUCCUGCAGGCUGUGAUUGGCAGCGCGGUGAACCAGUACGAGUAUGGGCUGAUUUACGACGCCGUCACGCCGCUUUUGCACACGAGUCCGUACGGGCACCGGAUCGAGGCGAAGCUGAAGAGUCGCUGUGACGCUCUCUACAGCAAGUCGGCCCCGGCAGGCACCACUCCAGUGGAUGCCAUGAACAAGUAGAGAACGGCAAAUGGCUUCCUCCCUCUUAGCCCCGUCUCUUUCGUGUCCCCCCCCCUGCGCACAACAGUAAGAGAGGGAGUGCAAGUGAAGGAGCGACGCGGGAAAGGAAGCUGCAUAUUUGAUAGCAACGAAAGAAAAGAAACGCAUCACACGCGAGUCGUUCGAGUCGUGAGUGCAAACGGUGGCUGACACCAACGAAAGCAAGCGGGCCUUCCGUGUAGUCGCUGCGUGUGUGUCCGUGUCGACCCCUCCCCCAUGAUGAGACGCGACGUUUAUGCACUUCUUUACGAGUGCUUGCGUUUAGGCGCGGAUUUGCGUGCUUGUGUAUGUAUAUAUAGGUGUUAACGCAGUGACGAGUUCCUUGGCGACGAUGAUGGUAGUGACGGAUGGCCCCCUUUCUUCUUUUUUCUUGUCUCUUCUCUCGAUUCCACCGCCCUUCUCUUGUACAAUGGUUUCUCGUUGAUCUCUUCCCUUCUUUGCUACGAUGUGCGUGUGUUUGUGCUUCCAACAACGCAUGUUUUCCUCUCCUCUGUUUCUCCUCGUUUCAUUUGCCUUCACGCCAUCUUUUCUCUGCUCCUCUUCUCUUCGCCGCAGCCGCCUCUGUCCAGCUCCCCCCCUCCCGCUCUCCUCUGGAUCGCCGACACGCACACGCGAGCCCCACUUCCGAUACGUCUUAUCUCUCUACCCCUCUUCCUCAGAUAAACGGGCGGUGACCGAAUAAGGGAGGGAGGGUACGAGGCGAUUGACGCUGGUGGCGAGUGUUUCCGAGGGAGCGCCGCAACUCUGUUCCUCCUCCGCACCCCCAUCCUCUGUUUACCUGCUCUGCCUGCACUGUUGCCCCCUCUCCCCCCGCUCGCGUGCUCCGCACCACUUGCCCCUUCUGUCUUCUUUUUCGUUCCUGUAUUUGUGUCAGCCUUUGACGACGUGGGGACACCUCAGCGCGUGGUGUCUCAAUGUCUAGUGAUGCCACGCUCUGUGUGGAGAGAAGCCGGAGCAGCCCCUCCUCUUCUUAUCCCCUGCUAGUGCCGAGCUAUCUGUGGUGGUGACAGGGUCAAGUGCCUACAACGGAGGGUGCGAUCAGAGCGAUGUAUCGCUGCUGAUGUCGGCGAUCAGACCGUGGAUGGCGCUGCGCGAGAGCGACCUGCGACAGUGAACGCGUCUGCACCAGCCGUAGAUUAGGCGGAAUGCCAACGUGGCGCGAACGCCUCACACCCGGCCCUCUCGCGCUGCCCGCUGGUGUGGGGAGCCUGGGCCGCCGUGAGGGGGACGCACCAGGGGUGGCGACCGGCGUGAUGUGGGAGCGGCUGUGGGGCGACCUGCGGAGCGGGUGGUGGGUAGAGUGUGCUGCCCAGGCCCUGCUCCAGUAGCGGAGUUGGCGCAUGGCUGUAAAACACGCAUCUAGGGCUGCUUGGCAGCGCACGAUGGGGCCAGUGGCAGGCUGAGGGGGGAGGGGGUCGCGUGGGGUUGAGUUCGCGUUCUAUGACAGAGAGCGGCCACGAAGGAGAAAAGCCUCCAUCAUCAUCUCUUCACACCCCUUUCGCUCGCUUCCCUUUCUGUUUCCCCUUAUCUCCUCCUUCCUCUCGGACCGGUAGCUCACCCGCGCUAGCGGCCGCAACGCCGGUGACGCCGUCAGCGGGGCUUCAGCGUCGAGUGUACGUGGCUGGUAAGCCACAAUGUUUGCCUUUGUCGGUGCCUGUCGGAGUGCCCGUGCACGGACACAAGCGCACACGUCUCCACGCCUGUGAUGUUUUCUCUCUCUGUAUGCGCUUGCUGAUUUGUGUGGUUCUCCUUCUCGAUCCCCCCGUCUAGGCGGGUUUUGCCCUCUGCCCCGAUUUUCUGAUGUGCGCCUCGGCUUUCUUGCCUUUGUUCCCCUUCUCAUAAAUGGCUCUCGUGCUCGCUCCUCUCUCUCUGUGUGCGCGUCUCUGCGUGCAUUCUUCCCGGAAGCUUUAGGUACGCGGGAUGUCAAUCACCUGCGUGUCGCUCACAGUGUUGGACGGCGUCUGUAGGUCGCUGUUGCUGAAACUUUUUUCUGUGUUGUGUGCUGCUGCAUCGUUCCUGCUCGGCAUUUCGGCAUGUUCUCAUGUUUUUCCCUUCUACCCCCGUCCCCUGCUUACGAGCGCGCUGGCACACACACCGCCACCUUGCCCUUUCCUUCCUUGCCCGAGCUAUCCUCUAACGACGUAGUUGAAACGGGAGCGGGGGGAGAAAAAGAAGCAAGAUGGGGAGAGAAGGCACUCAGCGACUCAAUAGAGAACGUGUCUGGUGCCAUACAUAUACCCCGUCCUGACGUACGGAGGCGGCUGUCCUCGACGGUUGCUGUCACGUGCGCGUGUUAAAGGGUAGAGGUUGGGCUGUGUGCCGGGGGGUGUAAGCAAGGGAAUCGCCAACGCUAUUGCGAGGAAGGCCUGCCAUGUGAAACACUUAGUGGUGAAUAUGGGUUUUAAGCAUAGUUGUUUCUUGUGUGCAUCUGCGGCGAGACGCGAUAGCAAAAAGGCGACGAUGUGCCGACAUGCUUGUGCACCUGCACUCGCACACAUCCGGACGCGCGCGUUUUCGUGCCGUAGCUGUAAGAGCGCAUUCCCAUGUUGCUUCGCUUUUUCUUUGUUUCACUUGGGCGUUACGUGUGGGCCGAAGCCGCAAUCUUCUCGUUGCUGAUGUUGAGCACGUGGGUCUUGGUCUCUGAAGGAGAUUGAGGCACCCAACGGUGCAUGUACGUGCGCGUGUAGCGUCUUGUCGGUGUGCAAACACACAGGCAGACACAUGCUGACGCAGGACUGCGAGGCUUGUGGUGGUACGCGCGCCUGCGUUUGCAUACGCUGAUUGUGUCCUUUUUCUUCUGGGCUUUCUCCUUUUCACCUUUUCACUCUCUUCUUUAGCCGGCGGUCAGUCGCACGUCGCGUUGUUUUCACGCUGGUGUUGCCCAUUCUCAGCCUUCUCCUUAUCAGCGUCCCCCAUGUCCGAUUCUCUCUCUGCUCUCUCUCCUCUAUGGGUGCUGCUCGCUCGCGUCUUUUCGUCUCUUGAUAGCCCCAUUCGGCCCUCUCUUCUCCUACUUCAGUCCCUGUCUCCCAAGAGAGCGCACAUAGUAGUAGCGCACCCUCCAGUACGUGUGUGCGUGCGCCUAUGGAGAAGUGUGUGGAGAUUUGAGUGAUAGACACACAGAAACGGACAGUAAAGGAGUAGAAUCUGACCUUCUUCCCCGCACUCGCGCAAGCACACCGCGGUGACGAUGCGUUGAAGAGAAGAACCAUAGACGUGCGAGGAGUCUUUGUUUUUCUCAGGUGCCGAGAAUGUGGGGUCCUGAGGAGGACAUGGAUGUUGUUAUCCUUCCCCCUUUUUGCUUUCUUGGUCUAUCCAGGCGCCCACAGACAUAUAUGCGUGCACCACGGAGAAGACGGAUGGGGCAGCCAGAGACUGUUGAGUCGCUCGGCUUGGGCACACGCACGUGUGCGGCAGUGCGUGAGACAUGAACGAGUUGGCUGUCUUCUGUGCUUCUAUGUGGGUGCGUAUGGGCAUGCCCCUUCAUGUGUCUCGCUGGGGUGGUACUCUGGAUUAGCAGCGGAAUUCAGUACAGUAAGAACGACUACGCUGGGCGCCAAUCAAAAAAUUACGAGCAGAACGUGAAGCAGUGACACAAUGUGGAAAAUGCCCGUACGAGGGAGCGAGGUGGCUGCGGUAGUGCCGUAGGUGGGUUACUCAGAGUAACGACAAGUGCGGCGUAUUGCGUAGCAUGCGCGAGGACAGGAUACACACGCGCAGGGGAAGACGAAAAAGGAAGUGGGGGAUGCAUAUCAAAAUGGUGGGCAGAUGCUUGUCUCUUUUUCCAUGAGCAGGAACUCACCGCUCAACAGCCCGC
rnacentral:misc_RNA from 1 species